rnacentral:rRNA from 1 species
GACGAACGCUGGCGGCAUGCCUAAUACAUGCAAGUAGAACGCUGAAGCGAGGAGCUUGCUCUUCUUGGAUGAGUUGCGAACGGGUGAGUAACGCGUAGGUAACCUGCCUUGUAGCGGGGGAUAACUAUUGGAAACGAUAGCUAAUACCGCAUAACAAUGGAUGACACAUGUCUUUUAUUUGAAAGGGGCAAUUGCUCCACUACAAGGUGGACCUGCGUUGUAUUAGCUAGUAGGUGAGGUAAUGGCUCACCUAAGCGACGAUACAUAGCCGACCUGAGAGGGUGAUCGGCCACACUGGGACUGAGACACGGCCCAGACUCCUACGGGAGGCAGCAGUAGGGAAUCUUCGGCAAUGGGGGCAACCCUGACCGAGCAACGCCGCGUGAGUGAAGAAGGGUUUCGGAUCGGAAAGCUCUGUUGUAAGUCAAGAACGGGUGUGAGAGUGGAAAGUUCACACUGUGACGGUAGCUUACCAGAAAGGGACGGCUAACUACGUG